rnacentral:tRNA from 1 species
GCGGGGAUAGCUCAAUUGGGAGAGCGUCAGAUUGAAGAUCUGAAGGUCGCGUGUUUGAUCCGCGCUCACCGCA